GACAACAAUGAUCAGGGCAAGCCGGUGAUUGGGUAUAGCCGUUUUAAGGAGCUCUGGAGAGAGUUCUUCUCAUCCGUGAAAAUACUGAAGUCAAAGGAUUUCACACAAUGCUCUCUGUGCAUCUUGUAUAGAGAUGCCCUACAAAGAAAGAACUUGGCAAAGGAAGAAGUCAAGGCCUUGAAAGAAGCAAAACAGGGACACUUAGCUUUGCAAAG